GGGCUCGUGGUUUAGUGGUAUAAUACUCCCUUAGCAUCUCGCAGCUUCAUUGAAGCUUUCGAAGUCCAGACUGGGAGUGGUCCGGGGUUCGAUUCCCCGCGAGUCCA
rnacentral:tRNA from 1 species